rnacentral:rRNA from 1 species
CAGCCGCCGCGGGAAUACGAAGGGUGCAAGCGUUAAUCGGAAUUACUGGGCGUAAAGCGUGCGUAGGUGGUGAGUUAAGUCUGCUGUGAAAUCCCCGGGCUCAACCUGGGAAUGGCAGUGGAUACUGGCUCGCUAGAGUGUGUCAGAGGAUGGUGGAAUUCCCGGUGUAGCGGUGAAAUGCGUAGAGAUCGGGAGGAACAUCAGUGGCGAAGGCGGCCAUCUGGGACAACACUGACGCUGAGGCACGAAAGCGUGGGGAGCAAACAGGAUUAGAUACCCCUGUAGUCCCUGUCUCUUAUAU